rnacentral:antisense_RNA from 1 species
UUUGAUGGUGGCUGUAUGCAGGGCGCCUUCGGGCGCACCGGCUUGAGACGUUCCCCGGUCCGCUAACCUGCGUGCAGCUGCCACCCUU